GGACGCGUAGCUCAGUUGGUUAGAGUACUAUCUUGACAUGGUAGGGGUCACAGGUUCGAGCCCUGUCGCGUCCA
rnacentral:tRNA from 1 species